rnacentral:rRNA from 1 species
UACGAAGGUUGCGAGCGUUGUUCGGAAUCACUGGGCUUAAAGCGCAUGUAGGCGGCUCGUCAAGUGCCUUGUGAAAUCCCCCGGCUCAACCGGGGAAUUGCUCGGUAGACUGUCGGGCUUGAGGCAGGUAGGGGCGCGUGGAACUCUUGGUGGAGCGGUGGAAUGCGUAGAUAUCAAGAGGAACGCCGGUGGCGAAAGCGGCGCGCUGGGCCUGUCCUGACGCUGAGAUGCGAAAGCCAGGGGAG